rnacentral:rRNA from 1 species
GACGUAGGGAGCAAGCGUUGUCCGGAAUUACUGGGCGUAAAGAGCUCGUAGGCGGGAGCGUACGUCUGAGAGGAAAUCUCAAGGCUCAACUUUGGGGCUUUCUCAGAUACGGCGCUUCUUGAGUGUAAGAGAGGAAAGCAGAAUUCCCGGUGUAGCGGUGAAAUGCGUAGAUAUCGGGAGGAAUACCAGUGGCGAAGGCGGGUCUCUGGACAGUUCCUGACGCUGAGGCACGAAGGUCAGGGGAGCAAACGGG